rnacentral:rRNA from 1 species
GUGGGGAAUUUUGGACAAUGGGGGAAACCCUGAUCCAGCGACGCCGCGUGAAGGAUGAAGGCCUUCGGGUUGUAAACUUCUUUUGGAGGGGACGAAUAAAUUGACGGUAACCUCAGAAAAAGCCAUGGCUAACUACGUGCCAGCAGCCGCGGUAAUACGUAGGUGGCGAGCGUUACUCGGAAUUACUAGGCGUAAAGCGUAUGUAGGCGGUUGUAUAAGUCUAUGGUGAAAUUUCCUGGCUCAACUGGGAAGGGACAUAGAUACUGUAUGGCUUGAGUGUUGGAGGGGGAGACGGAAUUCCUGGUGUAGCGGUGAAAUGCGUAGAUAUCAGGAGGAACACCGAUGGCGAAAGCAGUCUCCUGGCCAAAUACUGACGCUGAGGUACGAAAGCUAGGGUAGCAAACAGGAUUAGAAACCCCUGUAGUCC